UAACUGCAGAGACAGAGAGAUGAAUAGAGUUGAAAAAAGAGUUGGCGAUUCUUGGAAUCAUUUCUUGGUUGCAGUUGGGAGAGAAGUUUGAAGAUCAAGCUAUAUUGGGUUGCUUUCAGCAGACAAAAAGGAACAAGUUUCCAGUUUCUCAGUCUUAUAAGUCGGGUUUCUUCUGUUUUCUUCAUCUCGUCUCUUUAAAAUUAGUCAAAUUCGUUGGCUGUCUUAGUCCUUAUGUGUUUGUUUGUGCUUAUUCUGAAACUGAAGAGAAAUAGUCACUGUUUGGUGGCUGUAAAUAUCCCGAGUGAUUUGAAUUUUAAGGGAAGUCAAAGCAAUUGAAGGUAUUUCUUAAUGAUUUUGAUUUGUAGUCUUCUUUUUCGUUGAAAAGUAAAAUUGCAGCCUUGAUUUUUUCUUGUCAACAUGCCCCCUGAAAUUACUAUAAUACUUACUGGUUUUCCUUGAUUCUUAUUUUUAUAAUCAUCAUCAAUUUUUACUUUUAUUUUUUGCUGAUUUCUUAGCUGCGUGUGGUAGCGUCUGUGUGUGUUUUCUGCUGGAAGUUGGCGCUGGUUUAUUUCAGUGAUUAAAAUUUUGGAUUGAUGAAAUUCUUUUCACAAGCUAUCAUGUGCUCAUGUCUUGCAUGUUGUCUAUUUGGUGGAGUCUUGAUGGCUGAAUGGGCGGCAGAAUUGACUAUAUAAAGCCUUUGUUUAAAAAUAUUGAGAGAAUUGUUAAUAAGUUUUUGAUGCAUUUGAUUCUUUAAUUUGUUUAUUCCCUUUUUAGUUUAAUUUUUUUUAUAAUUUAAUUGAAUCACUUUAUAAUUUAAUUUUUCAAAGUGUUUUUACACUUACCAAACGAAAUGAGGGCUGCGAGAUUUAUUUCUUUAGGCCUCUCUGAUGUGGCUUUCAGUAGCUGCAUAUGAGCUUUUUUCGCUGCUGCUCUUGUGCUGCUCCUGCUGGAGUUCUGUCGCUCUGAGUUGCUGCAGUGGGUUUUUUUUUUCACUGCUGCUCCGGGUAGUUGGUUGGCUGUUUGGCGGGUGUUAGGUUCUGUUUGUGGCGGUGUUGCGGACUGGUCUGCUGCUCUUCCUGCUGGCCUGUUUUGAGCUGUUGUGUGGCUGUGUGUGUUGAUUAUAGGCCUCUCUGAAGUGGUUAUGUGUUGCUGCUUUUGACUCUUUUUCGCUGCUGCAAUUGGGUUGGUGUGGCUGGCGUUUUGGGGGUUAAGGUGCUGUUAUGGGGGUUUUUUGCUGCUGAUCCUGGUUUGAUCUUCUUGGUUUUUUUGGCCUGUCUCAAGGGGUUUUGUGCUCUGAUGCCCUUGGCUGUUUUUACUCAUGGGGCUUGUCUGGAUGUUUAGAGAUUUAAGUCAUAUGGCUACAAACGAACUGAGCUAUUCGCGAAUAGCUCGCCGUUCGUUCGAUAACAACUCAAUUCGACUGGAUAACGGACUGUUCGCGAACAAUUCGAUGUUCGUUCGAUAAUGUGUUCGAUUCGAGUUCGAAUAUGGGGUAUUCGUUUGAUUAUGUUCGCGAACAUACUGCAUUCGACUAAUCCAUCCGUUCGCGAACAACCUGUUCGCUUAUUCGUUCGUUUAUGUUCGAAAAACAUGGUACACAUUAUUAUAUAUAUUUAUAUUUUUUUUCAUUUUUA